GUAGCUGUAGUAUAGUGGUGAAAAUUUUAUGAUGCGGCCGUGGAGUCCUCGGCUCGAAUCCUAGCAGCUAUA
rnacentral:tRNA from 1 species